GGAGAUCCUGGAUGUUAAUUAACUUACUGUGGCCAUCAUUUCACGAUAUAUGCGAGUCGAGUCCUUAGCCUGUACACUCCAACGCCUACAGUGCAGUAUGUCAGAUAUUUAAACAACUUACUGUUCAGAGGAAGGAGGCGGGGACACUGGACCUCAUCUGUGUUGGGGAGAAACAGUCCAGGCCUCCCAGCAAGCAGGUGGCAAAAGAGGAAGAUGAAUAAAAUGAGCAAGAUGCAGAGACCCAGGCCCAAGAGGGGAAGAGCCAUGCAUGCCCAGAGCUACCUGGCAGAGGCAGCUUAGACCAGCAUGGCUCCCCUAGGAGGAUGGUGUCCUCCACACCCAGCUCCUGACUUCUCCCACUCAGUCUUCAUCCCUAGGAGCUCGUGAUCCCAGCCAGGACCAUGCUCAUAUGACAUGUUUGUGCAAAUAAGGAAAACGCUCCCCUUCUUCCCGACACUCUACUUCCAUCAUUUGAAAUUGUCAUGAAAUAUUGAUUUCUAUUAAACAAGCCACUUCACUACAUUUAUUAGAACUCCAGCAUAUCUACUAUGUGAAUGAUGUCCCGUAGAGGCAAUGACCUUGUGCAGUGCACAACCUACACGGCUGUAUGUGGUAGCUCUGAUUAUACCAUUUUUAAGUGCUUACUAUGUGCUAGGCAUUGGGCUCAGUGCUUUAUAUAAUCGUUUAGUCCUCACAGCAACUUUCUGAGGUAGACACUAUCGUUGAGCCCACUUUACAGAGGAGGAAACUGAGGUCAAGAGAGAUCGAGUUACUGACAUAAAGUUCCGUAACUGGCAAAUGGCAGAGCUGGGAUUUGAUCCAGGUCUGCAUGCUGUCAGAUUCUUGGUGGAGAGAUUCAGGUCUCCUCUGA